UUGGGGAAUUGAACAAGCGGUCCUGCCUCAGCUUGAGGUAGUGAGAGGCUAAGCUUGUCCAGCACAGAGGCUUUGGAGAAUUGUAGAUUAACGGCAUCUGCUUUUGUGUUCUUCACAAGUCAAAGGACAACCAUGUGAAGAUAUGGUGUGGGGGCAGAAACUUAAGUGAAGAUGGAGGGAGACUGAAGUGAUGCAUCCACAAGCCAAGGAAUGCAAAGCAUUUCUUCUGUACUCAUCAAAAGUUGGGAAAGAGACAUGGAAUGGAUUGUUUUCCACAGACCUCAGAAGGAACCAACCCGGCUGACAUCUUGAUUUCAGACCUUAAGCCUUCAGAACUACUUGAAGGCUUUGUAAUCACCCAGUUAGGUUCUUCUUGCCUACUACCCAGAAAAAGCUAAUACACUGAGAACAGCAGGAAUGUUCGCAGCAAAGAAAGAGUUUAAUGAUCAGAGGGCCAGCCAUGUGGAAGGAUAAGAGGUAAUUCUCAAAUCUGCCUUUCCAAGAAUUUGGGGACUAGGGUUUUUCAAGGAUAGCUUGGCAGUCAGAGGGCUAGGGAAUGAGGAUUGCUGAUAGGAUGGGUUUGGGAUGAAAUCAUAGGGUGUUGACACUGUCUGCUUGUGCUGAGUCAGUUACUGGGUAGUGGUUACAACUACAAGAUGCUAGUUGAUCCAUAUAGAAUGCAAGUUCUGAAAAAUAAAUGCUAAUCUUAAAGGAUUUACAAUGGUGAUGUUAUCUAUAGGGGCAAUUGCGUAAGUUAAUCUUGUGACCAUUCGCU
rnacentral:lncRNA from 1 species